UGAUAGCAUUUUUAACGAAAUUCACCGUAUUUGGAUUUAAUUCCGCAGACAUAACAUAAACAAAAACAAAAACAAAAAUAAAACCAGUUUCAGACGUAACUCCCGUGCGUCGUUCCAGUCAACCGCUUUUGUGUAUCAGUCAGACAUCGCAGUUCAUUUGCAUAAUUUCAGUAAUGAUGAAUUUUUUUGGCAAUGUACGGCUUGUAUGAGUCAUUAAUGUGUUCAGGAAGGCAUAAAAAUCGGCAGUUUUUGAAUUGGUUCCUAUUUUGCAGUCAACAAAUUUGUUCAAUGUAAUUAUUUUGGAAAUCCCAUUGUUUACCAACAUAUGGCGCGCCAAAAAAACACCAAACUAUUCGCAACUUAACAUCCUAGACAGACUAGCGUAUUUUACCAUAUUUCUGAUAAUGAUUAAUCAUUGUGAGCUACAAACAUACGCAGCCAUAAGACUUCUUUGAUCGUUUGAGUAUAUAUAUAUAUUAGAAGAAAACAGCUUCAAAUCAAACAGAAGCAUUUGAGACUUCAUUAGAGUCAAUUCGCAAGUCUAUAUUCAUUCUGAGUGAAUUAAAUACAAUUUAAGAAAUUAACAAAAUGUUCAAGAAGAUAUUUGCAAUGAUCGUGCUUUUUGGAGUGUUGGCAAUUCUAAGUCAACACACCACUAAUGCACAAUUUGUACGACGUUUCGGUGGAUUCUAUCCUGGAUAUGGUGGAUUUGGCGGAUUUCGCCCUGGAUUUGGCGGAUUCCGACCAGGCUUUGUCGGUUUCAGAAGAGGCCCAUUCGGUUUUGGUGGACCUGGAUUCUAUGGUUGAAAAAAUUUAAAUGCCAGUUCAAAUUGUAAAUAAUUUCAUACACUAUGCAAAGAAAAGUACUGAAUAAAUUUAUUUCUAUUACUCACUAUUAUGAUAUCACAAACCAAAUUGCUUAAUAAAAGAAAAAUUUUAAGGAUAAAAAA